UGCGAUAAGCGCCGGUAAGGUGAUAUGAACCGUUAUAACCGGCGAUACCCGAAUGGGGAAACCCAGUGUGAUUCGUCACACUAUCAUUAACUGAAUCCAUAGGUUAAUGAGGCGAACCGGGGGAACUGAAACAUCUAAGUACCCCGAGGAAAAGAAAUCAACCGAGAUUCCCCCAGUAGCGGCGAGCGAACGGGGAGGAGCCCAGAGCCUGAAUCAGCAUGUGUGUUAGUGGAAGCGUCUGGAAAGGCGCGCGAUACAGGGUGACAGCCCCGUACACAAAAGCGCAUGUGCUGUGAGCUCGAUGAGUAGGGCGGGACACGUGGUAUCCUGUCUGAAUAUGGGGGGACCAUCCUCCAAGGCUAAAUACUCCUGACUGACCGAUAGUGAACCAGUACCGUGAGGGAAAGGCGAAAAGAACCCCGGCGAGGGGAGUGAAAAAGAACCUGAAACCGU
rnacentral:rRNA from 3 species